rnacentral:sRNA from 1 species
UUGUAUAUAGUGAAAGAGUCUCCUGCCAUGAUUCAGACUUGACUUUUCUAGCUUUUUCCAUAGAUAAGCACCAGCCUAGGAGCUCUCAAAGUUGUUUCAGCUAAAGGACACACUCAGCUUUUGGUCUACAGUGACUUUCAGCCUAAGUGGCUCUGGACACUGCUGGAACCCCCCGACUCCAUCUCCCUCCAUAAAUAUGUCUCUGCAGCAGCUCGGUCAAGGAGUGUGAUGACUGGCGAGCAGAUGGCUGCCUUCCAUCCAUCGUCCACCCCCAACCCGCUGGAGAGGCCCAUCAAGAUGGGCUGGCUGAAGAAGCAGAGGUCCAUCGUGAAGAACUGGCAGCAGAGGUACUUUGUGCUGAGGGCUCAGCAGCUCUGCUACUACAAGGACGAAGAGGACACGAAGCCCCAGGGCUGCAUGUAUCUACCAGGAUGUACAAUCAAGGAGAUCGCCACAAACCCAGAA